UUCCUCUUAUUUUACAACAGCCUUUUGUAAUUUUGUGAACAUCAUAGACUGGAUGUGUUUGUGGGAUUCAAUUACUGAGUAGUUCAACAAAAAUAGUUUUUGGGGUUACCCUUGAAGUUUUGCUUUGAUUUAAAUCCAUUACUUUUAUGUUGUAAUAAUGCGAUGUAGUAUUGACAGACUUAAAAGCUUUAUCUACAAUAGUUUUUUUCUUUUCAGGCAGAUGCAAUUACUCUGUUCUAUUCAUUGCUGAUGAUGUUGUCAUGAUUUGUCUCUUUUGAACCCCGUUGUAGUGGAGACAGGACUUUUAGUGGAAGGUGGAUGUUUAGGUGAAUUUUGUCAGGUUAGGGAUAACAAUGCGCCUCCUUAUGUGGAAGUCUUCUCUGCUCAUGAGUGGGAGGAUAUGAUGAAAGACAUACCUGUGACCUACCUGACACGUAUGACCUGAUGUCAAGAACAGGCGGCAGAGUGAGAGCGAUACUUAAGCUCUGUUCCACGUGCCAAUGAGAGUCUUUUGGACCCAAAGGCGCUACUGUUGAGUGCCUUCAUAGGAGGGGAGCUGAAGCUUUCACAGUCCUGACCAACCAUUGUCCUGAUUGUCUUGCCAGGCUCCUUCAGCUGAUGGCUUCAGAAGGCUUUGUGUUUUGUUUUU
rnacentral:lncRNA from 1 species